UAGCAAGAAUGCUGAGCUGCUGAAGUCA
rnacentral:piRNA from 1 species